rnacentral:lncRNA from 1 species
GUAUGACGUUCUCUAUUAAACCUGGGAUCAGUUCCAGUAGCAUUGGCAAGAUAUGGACAGUGGAGCUUUCCUGUUUUUGAGUGUUUUCUGUUACUAUACAAUUGGGUGUAUCGGUUCGGAGUUAUUCGAUGGACUCUUUAUUUCUGUAGGUGCUUGGUUGGGCUCAAGCGAUGCCGAAAUUUUCAAGUGAUCUUGUGAAUAAUGUGCAGACGUACCUAGAACGAACAUACGAAAGAUGCCGCACAUCCUAUAUGGAGGCAUGUAUUUGUUCUUUUCGUUUGCUAUUGACUAAUCAAUUUACCCCUCUUCAUGAAUUUGUUAUGCGUUUUAUAAUGUACUAUAUAAUCUGUUCGAUUCGUAGUUGCUGUUAGGUGUUAAUUUUUAUUUCCUGAUCUAUCCCAACACUAAAGUUUUUAUUUUAGUUUAAAUAUUUCUUAGAUUGUCGUGUAAAAUAGCCUAGUAAGAGUUAAAAUGGGAGGAGAUGUAAUUCCCUAUCAAAGGGAAUCAAUACUUAAUCGGUUAGUACACUGUAAUCCUAGUCCUAUAUAUAUUCUUGUUUGUUCAACCUCUGAAAUAUAAGAAAACAUUACCUCUGUAAGCCUGUAGUUAUUCCUACAUUCCACAUUUUGUUUGUGACAACAGACAAGUAAGCCUUUAGUUUGUACCUUGGCAUCUUUAGUUUGGAAUCUGUGCUCAAGAUUGUUACCUCUUCAUUGUUGAUGAUAUAGCAGCCUAAUUCCUACUUCUUGUUCUUAACACUGCUAUGUUAUCAGUUGUAUAAGACAUCAAUAUCUUAAUCCAUCUGAUCACAUUAUGAUUGUUGCAGUUAAUGUUUUUCUGUUGUUAUUAUCAUCGUUGCAGCUGAUGUUUGAAUGGCCAAACUUUCUGUUCUUGCUUAUAUUUCAGAAAUAUUAUUUCUAUCAUCUUGAAAUAUGCACGUAUGGUAUGAAUAUUUUCACAGGAAUGAUGGGUUGCUGGCUUUCAUGGAGAAUUUUAUAAAGGACCAUUUUCUGCCAACCAUGCUGUUUUUGAGUGUUUUCUGUUACUAUACAAUUGGGUGUAUCGGUUCGGAGUUAUUCGAUGGACUCUUUAUUUCUGUAGGUGCUUGGUUGGGCUCAAGCGAUGCCGAAAUUUUCAAGUGAUCUUGUGAAUAAUGUGCAGACGUACCUAGAACGAACAUACGAAAGAUGCCGCACAUCCUAUAUGGAGGCAUGUAUUUGUUCUUUUCGUUUGCUAUUGACUAAUCAAUUUACCCCUCUUCAUGAAUUUGUUAUGCGUUUUAUAAUGUACUAUAUAAUCUGUU